AUGCAUUCCGUUCGCUUAAGAUAAGACGGCAAUAAAAAAGCAGAUUUUUCCAUAUUUUAUGGGCUUUUUUGUCGUGCUUAUUUUAAUGAAUGGGAUCAAACAUGGAUAGGUGAAGGAUCGGCUUUAAUCAGCUUAUGCCUUUUAUUUCUCUAUGCCUUUUCAUUGGUAUGCAGACCGAAGCCCGUACAUGUGGACUUAAGGCCUGCAUUUUUAUU
rnacentral:ncRNA from 1 species